UGGGGAAUCUUCCGCAAUGGACGAAAGUCUGACGGAGCAACGCCGCGUGAGUGAUGACGGUCUUCGGAUUGUAAAGCUCUGCUAAUCGGGACGAAUGGUUUGUGUGCAAAUAGUGCAUAGACAUGACGGUACCGGAAUAGAAAGCCACGGCUAACUACGUGCCAGCAGCCGCGGUAAUACGUAGGUGGCAAGCGUUGUCCGGAUUUAUUGGGCGUAAAGCGAGCGCAGGCGGUCAAUUAAGUCUGAUGUGAAAGCCCCCGGCUCAACCGGGGAGGGUCAUUGGAAACGGGUUGACUUGAGUGCAGAAGAGGAGAGUGGAAUUCCAUGUGUAGCGGUGAAAUGCGUAGGUAUAUGGGGGAACACCAGCGGCGAAGGCGACUCUCUGGUCUGUAACUUACGCUGAGGUUCGAAAGCGUGGGUAGCAAACAGG
rnacentral:rRNA from 1 species